AAAUAUCUCCUGGAGGAGACUUAGAGGAGAAAAGAAGAGAAGAGAGAGAGGAGAAAAGAAUAAGAGAUUUCAACUUAGAGCUUGGAGAUUUAGGAAUUGAAGCGGGACAUCAAGAUUAUAGCUCAAGGUCACUCUCUGGAAGGGACCAUUGUGUGACCAAAUCACAGUGACCAGCUCGGAGGCCAGCCUUAGGUCAGCUUUAGGAAACUUUUGAUGAACCUGUUUUGUUAAACCUCCAAAGUUGGAGCCUUCUGUGUUUUUGAGAAGUUCCUUUGAUGCUGUAUUUUUGUUAGGUCUUUGGUGGCUUUUAUUGAACACUUGGUUAAUAUGUACAUUUUGGGCUGUUAACUCUUUGUAUAUACCUACAUGAUUUGAACUUGUAUUUAUAUGAACUAUGUAUGUGAACUCCCUAUUUAUGGCAUGAUGUUUUAAAAUCCUAGCAUUUAAG